AGAAUCAACGCUGGCGGCGUGCCUAACACAUGCAAGUCGAACGAGAAAGGGUAGCAAUACCUGAGUAAAGUGGCGCACGGGUGAGUAACACGUGACUAACCUACCUUUUAGUGGGGGAUAACCUAGGGAAACCUGGGCUAAUACCGCAUAAUACCUACGGGUCAAAGCAGCAAUGCGCUGAAUGAGGGGGUCGCGGUCGAUUAGUUAGUUGGCAGGGUAAUGGCCUACCAAGACUGUGAUCGAUAUCCGGCCUGAGAGGGCGCACGGACACACUGGAACUGAAACACGGUCCAGACUCCUACGGGAGGCAGCAGUGGGGAAUUUGCGCAAUGGGGGAAACCCUGACGCAGCAACGCCGCGUGGAGGAUGAAGUCCCUUGGGACGUAAACUCCUUUCGAUCGGGACGAUAAUGACGGUACCGGAAGAAGAAGCCCCGGCUAACUUCGUGCCAGCAGCCGC
rnacentral:rRNA from 1 species